rnacentral:rRNA from 1 species
AUACGUAGGGGGCGAGCGUUGUCCGGAAUUACUGGGCGUAAAGGGUGCGUAGGCGGCCGAUUAAGUCAGAUGUGAAAUACCACGGCUCAACCGUGGGGGUGCAUAUGAAACUGGUUGGCUUGAGUGCAGGAGAGGGAAGUGGAAUUCCUAGUGUAGCGGUGAAAUGCGUAGAGAUUAGGAGGAACACCAGUGGCGAAGGCGACUUUCUGGACUGUAACUGACGCUGAGGCACGAAAGCGUGGGGAGCAAACAGGAUUAGAUACCCUGGUAGUCCACGCCGUAAACGAUGGAUACUAGGUGUAGGGGGUAUCGACCCCCCCUGUGCCGGAGUUAACGCAAUAAGUAUCCCGCCUGGGGAGUACGGCCGCAAGGUUGAA